AUCUGAGAGCCCUAUGCCUGAUCCUUCAUUUUGCGCACAUAGAAAAGUCAGACCAGCUUCCAGUAUAGCUGAAAUCUGAACCUAAUUUUAAUUCUGAAUUUUGCAGUUUAACUUCAGUGAAGAUGCUGAUGUCAGUUGCAAUUCUGGAUGCUCCAUGAACAUGGGGAUCAUAUGUUCAGACCUGGUCCAGCAAUGGAAAGUUCUGCAAGGGGAAGGAAAGAAAUUAUAUUCGAAAGGCAAAGAAAAUGAUUUCAAGAUAGCAAGUACUCAGGUUGCAUAAGGAGAGGAAAAGAAAGGCAUGAGAGGAAAUUAGGAACUGGGAGGAAGAGAACAAUCUGCACUCCAAAAAGAAAGGACACGAAGGGAGAAGAUCAGAAAGAAGAAGCGCCUACAGAGUAAGUGAGGGGAGCCUGUAAUGAAGAAAAGGUAAAGGAAGGGUACAAAGAGAUUGGAAUCAGUGCUACUUAGCACAGAAGGGAGGCAGACCAGAGCUGAAAGUUGAAAAGAGUCUGCUGGAUAAGUCAAGAACAAACUGAACUGAAGCUACAAAGCAACUUGAAAACCAAAGAGCCAAGUGAAAAGAUUCAACAUCCACGUCAUAACACAAGCAUUUUGGUAGUUCUCUAGUGGAAAAGAGAGGUGCUGUUCCAGGCCACCUGAAAUAAGUAAAGGAGAUUUUAAGAGCUUCAUAACUGUGUGGUAAAGCAGCAAAGAAAGGGGUCUAAUCUUUGCCCGGCCAGCAAACUUAACCAGCUAUAAUUCCUGCUGUAUCACGGAUUUUCCAGCAUCACCUCUUGACAGCAGGGAGAGAUCCAGAAGAAGCUGAUAAGCCUGCUG